GACGGAAACGAUUCGUUUCCUCUAUGUAUUAAUCGGAUUUUUGAACUUGGAGUAUGGUGAUGGAGCUUGCUCCACCCUGCUCACGGGUUGUCCUGGUAUUGCAGUACUACCAGGUUCGGCUCACGUUUC
rnacentral:snRNA from 1 species